AGAGUUUGAUCAUGGCUCAGAGUGAACGCUGGCGGCGUGGAUUAGGCAUGCAAGUCGCGCGAUACCGCAAGGUAUAGCGGCAAACGGGUGAGUAACAGGUGAGCAAUCUGCCUUUCAACCGGACAUAGCUUCGCGAAAGCGGAGGUAAUAUCCGAUGAUAUUCGAGUGGGGCAUCCCACUUUAAUUAAAGGCCGGGACCGCAAGGCCGGUCGUUGAAAGAUGAGCUCGCCUCCUAUCAGCUAGUUGGUGGGGUAACGGCCCACCAAGGCUUUUGACGGGUAGCUGGUCUGAGAGGAUGGUCAGCCACACUGGGACUGAGACACUGCCCAGACUCCUACGGGAGGCUGCAGUCGAGGAUACUUAGCAAUGGACGAAAGUCUGACUACGCGACGCCGCGUGAGGGAUGAAGGUCUUUGGAUCGUAAACCUCUUUUGACAGGAAAGAAAAAUUGCAGCUGAAUAAGUUGCAAUCUGACGGUACCUGUGAAUAGC
rnacentral:rRNA from 1 species